CAGAAGAGACACUGUAGAGAUAGAGAUUUCUCUGCCCACAUGCACAGAAGAAAGGCAACUUGAGGACACACAAAAUGGUGCUGCCUACAAAGAGAAGAGGCAUCAGAACAAAACCUACCUUGCUGACACCUUGAUCUUGGAUUUGCAGCCUCCCUAACUACCUGGGACUUUGAGGAAAAUUUCACAGCUAAAAGUUGCCCAGCUGAAAGAAUUAAAGGUCCAUGUCAAGACUUAACAGUCACGCAGCUCAGUGAGUCGUGUAACUCAGCCCCAGUCAAUCUUCUCAGAAUUCAAGACUCCAUGUCUGCAAAAUGAAGAUUAAAUGUCCUCCAGGAGAUUUGGAAACACUGUCAACUGACAACUGCAACCCUAUUUUUAAGCACCUCUGCCAAACUGAAAAUGAGAAGCCAUGCAAUGUGACCGUAGCCCUCUUGCCAGGAUGAUUGGCUCAGUUACUACAACUUCCUGAGUGUUGGCCUGCCCUCCCUUUGCUUUGACUUCUAGGAACUUUGACCCAGUAGAAAAGUUCUCAUGAAGAAAAUUCCACAAGUGAUUACACUGAACAUUUUUGAGGUGGAUCAAGCGGCAAACAACAUUGAAGCUGCCUGGUUUCUGAAGUUAUCAUCAACACAGAGGGCAUUAGAAGAAAAGGGGGCAUGCUUUUCUGAUGUCUUUAUUUUAUAGAUGAGGCAACCAAGACCAUAGUGAUAAAGAUUUUUUGAACUUC